rnacentral:rRNA from 1 species
GACGAACGCUGGCGGCGUGCUUAACACAUGCCAGUCGAACGGAAAGGCCCUGCUUUUGUGGGGUGCUCGAGUGGCGAACGGGUGAGUAACACGUGAGUAACCUGCCCUUGACUUUGGGAUAACUUCAGGAAACUGGGGCUAAUACCGGAUAGGAGCUCCUGCUGCAUGGUGGGGGUUGGAAAGUUUCGGCGGUUGGGGAUGGACUCGCGGCUUAUCAGCUUGUUGGUGGGGUAGUGGCUUACCAAGGCUUUGACGGGUAGCCGGCCUGAGAGGGUGACCGGCCACAUUGGGACUGAGAUACGGCCCAGACCCCUACGGGAGGCAGGAGUGGGGAAUAUUGCAAAAUGGGCGGAAGCCUGAUGCAGCAACGCCGCGUGCGGGAUGACGGCCUUCGGGGUGGAAACCGCUUUCGCCUGUGACGAAGCGUGAGUGACGGUAAUGGGUAAAGAAGCACCGGCUAACUACGUG